GGUUAAGCGACUAAGCGUACACGGUGGAUGCCCUGGCAGUCAGAGGCGAUGAAGGACGUGCUAAUCUGCGAUAAGCGCCGGUAAGGUGAUAUGAACCGUUAUAACCGGCGAUUUCCGAAUGGGGAAACCCAGUGUGACUCGUCACACUAUCAUUAACUGAAUCCAUAGGUUAAUGAGGCGAACCGGGGGAACUGAAACAUCUAAGUACCCCGAGGAAAAGAAAUCAACCGAGAUUCCCCCAGUAGCGGCGAGCGAACGGGGAGGAGCCC
rnacentral:rRNA from 1 species